rnacentral:rRNA from 1 species
ACGAACGCUGGCGGCAGGCCUAAUACAUGCAAGUCGAACGCCGUAGCAAUACGGAGUGGCAGACGGGUGAGUAACGCGUGGGAACCUUCCUAAUGGUACGGAAUAGCCCGGGGAAACCCGGAGUAAUACCGUAUAAGCCCGUAAGGGGAAAGAUUUAUCGCCAUUAGAUGGGCCCGCGUCGGAUUAGCUAGUUGGUAGGGUAACGGCCUACCAAGGCUACGAUCCGUAGCUGGUCUGAGAGGAUGAUCAGCCACACUGGGACUGAGACACGGCCCAGACUCCUACGGGAGGCAGCAGUAGGGAAUAUUGGACAAUGGGCGAAAGCCUGAUCCAGCCAUGCCGCGUGAGUGAUGAAGGCCUUCGGGUUGUAAAGCUCUUUUGGCGGGGACGAUAAUGACGGUACCCGCAGAAUAAGCCCCGGCUAACUUCGUGCCAGCCGCCGCGGUAA